GUGGGUUAGGAAUUCAAGCAAUUCUUUGGCUUCAUGUAGCAUUGACUGAGGUUACUUGGAAAUACUCAACUGAGCUCAUCUGAAGGGUCCACCAGCUUUUCUCACACCCCUGACAGCUCGGUGGGGGCUGUUGUGAGGCUGGGCUCACCGGGGCCCCUCUUCACUAGCAGCAAGGUGGUCAGCCUUCUCACCUGGCCGCUCAAGGCUCCAAAUGACAGGAAGUGAAGCUGCAGUCUCUCAGGGUCUGAGCCAGGACCUGGCCCAGCAUCACUUCUGCUGUUUUCUGUUGGUCAAAGCAGUUACAGGCCCCUUAGGUCCAUGGGAGGCGUGUCGGAGAAUUUGCAGCCAUCUUUAAUCCCUGCGGUCACAUGGCUUGUAGGUGUAGGAGGCAGCCAAGCCAGGACUCAGAGCUAGGCAGUCCCACUCGAGAGCCACCCUCUUUGCCCUCCUGAGCAGCUGUAAACCCUGGGCUUUGUGGGAGGAAAGAGGAGGACCUGCCAUUCCGGGGUUUCCCAGCACAGCCGCUCCACUCUCA
rnacentral:lncRNA from 10 species